CGCUGGCGGCGUGCUUAACACAUGCAAGUCUACGAGAACGAGGUAGCAAUAUCUUUAGUAAAGUGGCGUACGGGUGCGUAACACGUAAGUAAUCUACCUUUGGGUUCGGAAUAACUUCGGGAAAUCGGAGCUAAUACCGGAUAAUGCAGCGGCACCGCAUGGUGAUGUUGUUAAAGUUUGUGUAAUGCCUAAAGAUGAACUUGCGUCUGAUUAGCUAGUUGGUGAGGUAAUGGCUCACCAAGGCUGCGAUCAGUAGCUGGUCUGAGAGGAUGAUCAGCCACACUGGAACUGAGACACGGUCCAGACUCCUACGGGAGGCAGCAGUGAGGAAUAUUGGGCAAUGCCCGAAAGGGUGACCCAGCAACGCCGCGUGGAGGAUGAAGGUCGUAAGAUUGUAAACUCCUGUUAGAGGGGAAGAAUAACUAAGUUUGGAGCUUAGUAUGACUGUACCCUCAGAGAAAGCCCCGGCUAACUACGUGCCAGCAGCCGCGGUAA
rnacentral:rRNA from 1 species